rnacentral:tRNA from 1 species
GGGCGCAUAGCUCAGCUGGGAGAGCACCUGCCUUACAAGCAGGGGGUCANGUAAAUCUGUUGCGUUAGCUUCGAUGGUUCAAAUCCAUCUUCCUCCACCA